AAGAUAUGGGAAGAAGCCUGACUUGCAAGUGAUGUAAAUGAGUUUGAGUCAAUAAGUCAGGCCCAAGACUAUUCUGCAGAAUCAAUCCACCUGAGGGGAAGGACCUCAUGUGAUAUCACAAAAGUGUCCUCAGCUUGGAGCACUGAGUAGCACAUUCACAAUGCCAGAAAUGAUUGUAAACAGAGUAUUGUGAUUGAGCAUGCCAGCUCUUUCAGGUGGAGAAAAUGCGAUUAUUCAAACUGGAAUCUGGACCGUGUACCAAGUCAAGUGUGUGGCUAUUUUUCAAUGCUUGUCUUUUUACCAGUUGGUUGAUUCAUCAUCUGUUAAAUAUCAUGGCACUUUUGUGUGCGUUGUUUUUGUUUACCGAGCAAUAUAGAUGGGAUUUCUCUGUGCUUUCUUUAGAAGAAGUUCACCUAAAAGAAAAAUCCAGAUUGCAUACAGAACUUUUUUCCUCCUCCUAUCAUCACAGCAGCUCUGAGCUUUUCAGACUUUUCCAGAUGAAACAUGACGUACUUCAUUUAUACAGCUAGACACAUCCAAAAAAAAUAAAUAAAUAAAA